rnacentral:lncRNA from 1 species
AGUUCAGGCUAGUGACCAUAAAAUUAGGUUAUGUGACAUAACAACUUUCGAAUGGUACAGUGUAAAGUUCUUGUAGUGUUAUUUUUAUGCCGAAGUAAGAUGUUUGAGUACUUUUAAAGUACUUAAUAAAAAAAAGUUUAGUACUCAAGUAUCUUUUGUUCAGAUGUGGCUGUAAAACAAAGAUAAUUGAUUUCAGUGUUCAGUUGCGUUUUUAAGUUUAGGUUGGUGGAAAUAAUUAUUUGAGGAAAUUUGUGGUGGAAUGGGUUAGACUUCAUUGGCCAAAUAAUAAGGUAAUGAAGCCCUGGCACAAGUAAAUGUAUCUUGGAGAAGAGCUGUAAUACUGUGCUUGGAAUAACAAAGUUCUGUCCAGCGUCUCGGUAUUUUUAUCCACUUCAUCCUUUCAUAACUGACCUUAUUAAUAAUGUAGCCUAACCUAUUAAGCAACUUCAUCACCUUGCUAUGAACCAUAUCAUAGCAAGUCUCUAAAACUGAGAUCUUUAACACCUAGUUUGUAACAUACACUUCUCAUACUCUUUUUCAGUUUAAAAGAAUUCAGAUUACUAAUGCAUUUUAGUGAUGUUGAAUUAGUCCACAAUUUUAACCUUACCAAAUUAAAACAUUGAAAAAUCAUGUGAGUAUUGCCCUCCACCCUCCCUUCACAAAGUGUUGCUUGGAGCUUCUUUCAACUGCACCCAAAAAAAGAAUUUUAGUAAAUGUGUUUCUUUUUUCAAACAUAUAGAAUGUUUAUUUCCAUCCUACUGCCUCUAAAGAGGCAUUUUAGAUGUUGAAUUAGUCCACAAUUUUAACCUUAGCAAAUUAAAACAUUGAAAAAUCAUGUGAGUAUUGCCCUCCACCCUCCCUUCACAAAGUGUUACUUGGAGCUUCCUUCAACUGCACCCAAAAAAAGAAUUUUAGUAAAUGUGUUUCUUUUUUCAAACAUAUAGAAUGUUUAUUUCCAUCCUACUGCCUCCAAAAGAGGCAUUUUAGAAAGUGUUCAGUAGUGACUUCUGUUAAAUGCUAUUUUAUACUUUUAUAAUUUGUGUGUGUGUGUUAACCUUGCUUUAAAUUUGAGCAGAAAUUCAUACAAAAUUGCCUAAGACGUCUGAGAAAAGAAAAUGAAGCUGCCGUGAUGAAAACCAAGUUGGUUUCAAAAAAGUUUAUUUAGACAUUACUUGGCUGUUAUACUUUCCUUUUAAAACUGCAAUAAUUUAUAUAUUUCUAUUGCUCUGCUUUGGAACUGUAAUUACAUAUGCUUGUCUAC